GGGACCGUAGGGUAGCAUGGACCAUCCUGCUAGACUGGGGGUCUAGCGACCGGCGUUCAAAUCGCCGCGGUCCCA
rnacentral:tRNA from 2 species